AAAAGAAGAAAAAAGUGCGUACGUAACUUUCGUCAUAUCUUUUGUGGUUGUUAUGGUUUGUAGAUACGGCAGACAACGAUGCAUCUCCUUCUCAAAGAGAGCUUAUUGUUAAGUGGACGGAUAAAGUUUCUCGAACAUUCAUAGAGUUACUUCUAGCUCAACUUGAUAAAGAAAAUUGGGUAGAGAAAUCUUUAACUAGAGAAGGAAAAGCUUUAAAGAAGCUACUGGAUUUGAUUUGGUAUGGAAAAAUUUUGCAGAUCAUCUUCAUAAUUUGAAGCUAUGGUAUGACUGCUACCGCCGACUCCGCAAGUUCACUGGAAUAUCCGUCGAUCAUAGCACAGGAAUAAUAACCAUGGAUCAAGAAUGGUGGGAUGCUCGAAUACAAGAACAAGACGUGGCUAAACGAUUUCGUAAGAGAUGUUUAGCAAAUGAAGACCUCUUAGAAAUAUUGUUCAGUGGAGCCCAUAUUGGAGUUGAAGAUGGAUGGUCAGUUGGAAAUUGCCUCAACAUACAUAUGAUACUCGAGGACAAUUUGAUAUGAACACAACAUAUGUUGGCGAAGAUUCAUAUGUGCCGUUAUCUACUCCACCAGAUGAACAAAAUCAGAACAAUCAGUCAACACAAGGCACCAUUAAUCCACCUUCCGAUGAACGAUCACAUUCUGAGCAACGAAGUAAACGUAAGCGUGGGGCAUCGAACAUUGACAAUCAGUCUGAUCUAUCAAAAGCUUUCCGUGAACGAUCAGAUGCAAUAAAAUUAGCAGCAGCUGAGAUGUCAUCUGCUUUGACAUCUGACGUAACAAUGGCUGCACGACGGAUGCAUCAAAUUUCAGAGAUUGAAUUUGGCUCAACCUUCUAUUGGGAUGCCAAUAAAUUACUAUCUAAUGAUGAGGUUGCUCGAAGAUGGUUUUUAGGGAUUCCAGAAAACAAGUUUGCACUUCUUUAUCUCCGGACGAGAUCAACAACGAUAUUGGAAUAGAAAAAGCGUAUGCAGCAUGAACAUUCUUGCAGUGAGUAACUUCGACAUGUUGUUUACUUACAUAUAUGUUGGUAUCCCUUGUUCUGCUCAUGACGCAAAAGUGCUUUCUUUAGCUAUGGAAGGUGAUCCUAAUUUUCCGCAUCCACCCACAGGUAAAUAUUACCUUGUUGAUUCAUGAUAUGCGUUACGUCGAGGGUAUUUGGGACCAUAUAGGCAAACUCGGUAUCAUCAAAAUCAGUUUCAAAAUCAAGCACCACCUAGUAACUAUAAAGAAAAAUUUAAUCGGCGUCAUUCUUCACUUCGUUGUGUUAUUGAAAGAACAUUUGGAGUGUGGAAAGGAAAAUGGAGGAUCAUGCAAGACCGGGCAAGGUACGACAUUGUAACAACAAGAAAGCUCGUGAUAGCAACAAUGGCGCUACAUAACUUUGUACGGAAAUCAAGCAUACCAGAUCCCGACUUUGAUGUUGAUUGGAUGCAAAAUGGUGAUCUGCACCCUACUUUAGAUGAUGAAGAUGAAAUAGUGGAACAAGACGUGACUGGUUCGAGGCAAUAUAUGGAGGGAUUUCGCGAUGAGAUUGCAAUGAGUUUAUGGAAUACUAGUAGGUAGAUGUGAGCAUUGUUUUAUUAUUAUUUAAAAACUCAUAAGCUAAUUUCAAAAAUGAUUUUUCUACACAUUUAU